ensembl:lncRNA
GCGGGUCAUCCGCUCUGCAGAGAGGGUGAUCGGCUGCAAUCUGCCGUCCCUGCAGGACCUGUUCGCUUCCAGGUCUCUGAAGCAGCUAAAAAGAUUGCGGCCGACCCCUCCCACUCCGGACAAAACCUGUUUGUGCCCCUUCCAUCUGGCAGGAGGCUGAGGUCCAUCAGGACUACGACGUCCCGCCACACGAACAGUUUCUUCCCGUCGGCAGUCGGGCUCAUCAACAGAGCCGGUCCCCCACUGCCUGACUAUAACACUCCACCGGUCACUCCCCCUCAUACUGCACAUGCCACUUUAACUGCAAUUCAUCACUUUGUCACUUGUCACUUUGUCUCUUGUCUGUUACUUGUUCGUUAGUGCACUUUAUGCUUAAUAUUUUUCUUUUUAACUUUUUAAUAUUUAAUUUUUUUUAACUUUAUUCCCUUGUUUUAUACUAACUCAUAGCCUUAGCCUUAUUCUACUAACCCAUUGCAUUAGCAUUUCAUUCCACUUUAUUUUAUUACUUGUGCACUGUGACAAUAAAUAUUGUUCAUUCAGUGUGAGUUUAUAAAUCAUACUCAAAUCAUUAGUUGUGUAUUGGUUAAAAGCAGAUGUUUUGAUUUAAUCACACAUAAUAGUCACAUUAUGAUCUUCUGGAUGACAUUUAAGAUGUCAUCGUCUAUGAUGAAAAUAACUCUGGUCUUGUUUGGUUUUUGUAGCGUAGCAGCAGCAGCAAGCCAGAGGAACCAGAGGCCAUGUUGGACCUGAUUCUUGAGAGUCAGGGUCAGAGACUGGAGGACCAGAGAGCCAGCUUCAACCUGUUACCUGACCCAGGGUCAGCCUCUCUCUGUGGAGCCUGCAGCCCCCCCUUAACUUCACCCAGUGUGGGCUUCUACUACAUGCUAAUACACUACCAGUCUAACAGGAUGGAGGACCAGAGGUGUUCCCUUCCAGAUCUGGAUGAAGCUGCUGGUGAAGGUCAGCAGGACUUCUUUGGGUUGAUUCAGAGAGUUCAGUCCAGGAGGAUGGACGAACAGAGAGCCUCUCUGCUGCCGACACAUACUGACGACGACCAUGACGUCAUUAACGCAGGCCCCUCCCCCAAUCCCCCAAAUCAUCAGUGAUGAGUACCAGAGUCUUAUAGGGUUCUUCAGAACCACUCUUCUAGAGCUCCACAAAGACUAGAAUUAUCCUGAUGUUAAGACGGUUGGGACGGAUCCAGGUUCAGGUCUUUAGGAUCCAGAUGUGUUGACGACUGAUAUUAGAUUACAGACCAGAUGAAUGUGCUUCUCUGAGUAGUUAGUGGUUGGUAGAGCUGGUUAUUAGAGCUGUGGAUGAAUGUUUCUCUUUGUUAACAAAAGAGGUAAAGAAGAAGAAUGUUAUCUGAUAAAUAUGGACGUAACAAAACAAUCUAAGAUAUUUAAUGAUCAUCUUUACUAAUACAUAAGGAAACUUGUUUAAACUGGUUUGUUUUAUUAUGGGAAUGAUGGGAACAUAGUCCUUCAAAAAAACUUUUAAGAUUUAUCUCAGUUUUCCCUUUUUAGGAAUUCAGACAUAGGAUUCAGGUACAGACCAGGACCAAGUCCUGAACUGGCCCCAAAUCUAAUCAAAGUUCCUGAACCAAGUCCAGACCAGGUCUUGGCCCUGUGUUCUCAACCUAAAACUUCUGUCCUGUAAAGUCAAUAAAUCACAGUUGGAAAUUUUAAACUGUAAGACUCAUUGUAGCAUGUGACAGAUAUUAAAAUAUAUUUAUGGAACAAAUAUCAAUUUCCGUUUUUAUUUUUCAUUCAUUAUAAUUCUUACAAUAAUUGAAACACUUUCAUUCAUGAG